UGUCCUGAUGAGAAAAUCAAUUUUUAAAGGGAUCAGGGCAAAUUUUUUCCUCUCCCCGUGCCCCCCUUUAUUCAUUUAAAAAAAAAAUUAUGCCAUCAGAAAAAUCAAGCAUCAGUUACAAAUUCAAAAAUUCAAUAAAAAAUAUCUUGGCGUUCAAAAGAUAUAACCAUUUAAAGUAAAACUAGUCAAAGUGUUACUAAAUUUAUUAUGUAUGUAUGUAUAUGCUUUAGUUAAAAAUCUAACAUAUUUAUUAUUUAUUUGCAUUAAAACUAGCAUAACUUAUAUAGUUAACAUGCCAAACAAGGGAUUGUUUCUCUUCAAGAAAACUUAUUUGUGUUUGCUGUGGUGAUAAGAACUUAAAAUGCACUGAACUGGUAAGUGGAAAUUCUUUACUAGUCUUGAUUCAACUGUAUGCCAACACUAACUAUAAUCUAAUACUCCUUUCCAACCCUAUUGGGUUAUGUCCAAGUUGCAAGAUUUAUUUGUACUUAGCUAAAAAAGGAGAAACUUUAUCACUAGUUACUUUAGAGAGGAGGUUACUCACAGAGAGAAUAAAAUUACUUCCAAGAUUUAAAGGUGAGACAGUGUCAACAUGUGAUUGCCUGCUCUGUAUCAUGUCAAGAGAUAAAUCCAAUUCUAUAAACCUUCCGGAUGUGUUAAACAUGUACAUUAAUGACCCUAAAGUACCAAAGAAGGUUAUAGAUAAAAUUUGUUGUACUUGUUAUCAGAGAAUUGGAUCUGGAAUUCAACAUCCCUGUAAUAAGAGAGACAUUGUACAGAACCUAAAAACACUGCUAAUAUCAACAGGUAAGAGCUUAAUUAUAGUUUUUUUAAACCUAAAUUUUUACGUAAUCCUAAAACAUAUUUACAAAUUUUCAGGUUUAAAAACAGUUGAGCAAGUACUUAGCAAAUCUCUAAAAUAAAUUCAACAAUUUAAAAGUAUUGAGUUAGACCACACUGUUAAAUUGUCGACUGGUGGAACUCCCUUAAGUCUGCAGAUAGGGAAAAAGCCAACCCUUAAAACUAUCUCUACCCAAACUUUCUAUAAUAUCAAAAGAAAGCAUGAGAUGUCAGACUGUACUAUUGAUUUAAUAGUAAUGGAAUUAAGAAAAGAUUUGGGUAGAUUAAGUGUGGAAUCUAAUUCUUCCAAAAAAAUUAAGAUAAUGUCACAUACCUUAGAUAACUAUUAUUCAGUGGAAAAAGUGGAAUUUUUAUCCAAAAAUAAAGUUAAAGAAAAUAAAACUAUUGAAACUGUCAUUAAAGAUCUAGUGUAUGUCAAAGAUCCAGUAUCUCUAGUUAAUCAUGUUUGCAUUGCUAGGGGACUAGAAAUCGAGAAUGUUAUUAUUCGUGUAGGAAUAGAUAGUGGCCAAGGAUCUUUAAAAGUUAUUAUGAAUGUUUUUAACAGAGAAGUAAAUUAUGACUCCAAAGAAACCAAGAGUACUGGAGUGAACUAAGUUAUAAUAUUGGCUUUUGCCAAAAAUGUUUGCGAAAACCACACAAAUCUUCAAAUUCUUAUAGAAAAAACAAAGCUAAGCAAUUUAAAGUUUUACCUUGCUGCAGAUAUUAAAUUAUGCAACAUAGUUUUGUCAGGACAUGGGGGAAAAUAUUCAUUUUUAUUUUGUGAUGAUGAUAAAACUAAUCUUGGAGAACUGAGAACCUUUAAUAUGCUUAAGAACAUGUAUAAAAACUUUGCUGAAAGUGAAUUUAAAAAAAGCUCUAUGCAACUCUAUAAGAAUGUUAUACAUCCAUGUCUCCUGGUUGAGUCUGGAGAGAUGUAUGUGCUUGAUGUCAUCCCUCCUCCAGAACUUCAUUUAAUGAUGAAGAUUAUAACAGAAAUUUCAAAUGUCUUCUGUAAGGAACCUGAUGUUGCUCUCUGGUUAAAAAAACAUGGAGUUAUUUGGCAUGGGUAUAAUGGAGGUGGACUUGAUGGUAGAAAUGCUAACAAAAUACGGAAGCUUUUGCCAGAUUUGGAAAAAUUUAUCUUAGAUAACUUUUCUUCUUACCAUCAAGUUGUUGAACUGUUAAAGUCUUUUUCUUCAGAUAAAUUUAAAGUUUACUUAAUUUUACAAAGUAUUUAUAUAUUAAAAGUUAAUUAUGAUUUAAAAAGAAAUAUUUAUUGAAUCAAAAGCAAUGUCUCACAAUUGACACUAAAAUUUACAUUUAGUAGUUAACAUUUGUUUUAGAAUGAAACUCCAUGACGGUUAUGCUGAUGCUAUUGCAACAUAUAUAAGAAAGUUAAAGGAAAACCAAGAGUAUGCGAAGACUACAUUCAACCACAAUCUUUCUAUGGGAUGGAAAGGUCAUAUAAUUGAACACCAUCUUGUCAUGUUUUUAAAUAGAACUAAGCUGCCAUUGGAAGUAUUUUCUGAGCAAUGUUCUGAAUCUGUUCAUCAUAAUAUGUUGAAAACACUGAGCAGAUUCUCAACUUCAGAAUUCAGAGAAAACCAUGGAGAGCUU